GACGUAGGGCGCGAGCGUUGUCCGGAUUUAUUGGGCGUAAAGAGCUCGUAGGCGGCUUGUCGCGUCGACUGUGAAAUCCCGCGGCUCAACUGCGGGUCUGCAGUCGAUACGGGCAGGCUAGAGUUCGGUAGGGGAGACUGGAAUUCCUGGUGUAGCGGUGAAAUGCGCAGAUAUCAGGAGGAACACCGGUGGCGAAGGCGGGGUCUCUGGGCCGUAACUGACGCUGAGGAGCGAAAAGCAUGGGGGAGCGAACAGG
rnacentral:rRNA from 1 species